rnacentral:tRNA from 1 species
GGUUGUGGCUCAACGGUAGAGCACUUACCUACCAUGUGCAAGGACCUGGGUUCAAUCCUCAGCACAUUA